CAGAGACAGAAAGAAGGGGCAGAGACAGAGACAGAAAGAAGGGGCAGAGACAGAGACAGAAAGAAGGUGCAGAGACAGAGACAGAAAGAAGGGGCAGAUACAGAGACAGAGACAGAAAGAAGAGGCAGAGACAGAAAGAAGAGGCAGAGACAGAGACAGAGACAGAAAGAAGGGGCAGAGACAGAGACAGAGACAGAAAGAAGGGGCAGAGACAGAGACAGAGACAGAAAGAAGGGGCAGAGACAGAGACAGAGUAAGAAAGAAGGGGCAGAGACACAGACAGAAGGAAGGGGCAGAGACAGAAAGAAGGGGCAGAGACAGAAAGAAGGGGCAGAGACAGAGACAGAACGAAGGGGCAGAGACAGAGACAGAAAGAAGGGGCAGAGACAGAGACAGAAAGAAGGGGCAGAGACAGAGACAGAAAGAAGGUGCAGAGACAGAGACAGAAAGAAGGUGCAGAGAAAGAGACAGAGACAGAAAGAAGGGGCAGAGACAGAGACAGAGUAAGAAAGAAGGGGCAGAGACAGAGGCAGAGACAGAAAGAAGGGGCAGAGACAGAGACAGAAAGAAGGGGCAGAGACAGAGGCAGAAAGAAGGGGCAGAGACAGAGGCAGAAAGAAGGUGCAGAGACAGAGGCAGAAAGAAGGUGCAGAGACAGAGACAGAGACAGAAAGAAGGGGCAGAGACAGAGACAGAGACAGAAAGAAGGGGCAGAGACAGAGACAGAGACAGAAAGAAGAGGCAGAGACAGAGACAGAGACAGAAAGAAGGGGCAGAGACAGAGACAGAGACAGAAAGAAGGGGCAGAGACAGAGACAGAGACAGAAAGAAGAGGCAGAGACAGAGACAGAAAGAAGAGGCAGAGACAGAGACAGAAAGAAGGGACAGAGACAGAGACAGAAAGAAGGGGCAGAGACAGAGACAGAAAGAAGGGGCAGAGACAGAGACAGAAAGAAGGGGCAGAGACAGAAAGAAGGGGCAGAGACAGAGACAGAAAGAAGGGGCAGAGACAGAGACAGAGACAGAAAGAAGGGGCAGAGACAGAGACAGAAAGAAGGGGCAGAGACAGAGACAGAGACAGAAAGAAG
ensembl:lncRNA